UGGGGAAUUUUGGACAAUGGGCGAAAGCCUGAUCCAGCAAUGCCGCGUGUGUGAAGAAGGCCUUCGGGUUGUAAAGCACUUUUGUCCGGAAAGAAAUGGCUCUGGUUAAUACCUGGGGUCGAUGACGGUACCGGAAGAAUAAGGACCGGCUAACUACGUGCCAGCAGCCGCGGUAAUACGUAGGGUCCAAGCGUUAAUCGGAAUUACUGGGCGUAAAGCGUGCGCAGGCGGUUGUGCAAGACCGAUGUGAAAUCCCCGAGCUUAACUUGGGAAUUGCAUUGGUGACUGCACGGCUAGAGUGUGUCAGAGGGUGGUAGAAUUCCACGUGUAACAGUGAAAUGCGUAGAGAUGUGGAGGAAUACCGAUGGCGAAGGCAGCCCCCUGGGAUAACACUGACGCUCAUGCACGAAAGCGUGGGGAGCAAACAGG
rnacentral:rRNA from 1 species